rnacentral:rRNA from 1 species
GACGAACGCUGGCGGCGCGCCUAACACAUGCAAGUCGAACGAGCGAGAGAGAGCUUGCUUUCUCGAGCGAGUGGCGAACGGGUGAGUAACGCGUGAGGAACCUGCCUCAAAGAGGGGGACAACAGUUGGAAACGGCUGCUAAGACCGCAUAGGCGCGGACGGGACAUCCCGUCCACGUUAAACGUCCUUUCGGGGACGGCUGAAGGAUGGGCCUGUGGCGCAUUAGCUUGUUGGCGGGGCAACGGCCCACCAAGGCGACGAUGCGUAGCCGGCCUGAGAGGGCGGACGGCCACACUGGGACUGAGACACGGCCCAG